ensembl:antisense Gm28989 predicted gene 28989
AUAAAGUUUUGCCGCAGAAGAUUCUGGUUUGCUGCGUCUUUCCUGGCCGGUCGCGAACGCGGGGUAGGAACAAUUUCAAGAGAAAAUGUGAGCAGUUGUUCUCAGUUUUGAAUUCUGUCCAAGAGCUGCAGACCAAGUUGCCCCUUAGGCCUACAAAAGUGAAAACAGAAACUUGGCUUCAGAGGGUGGGUGGCAAGGAAAACAGACAACAAGUCAAAGCAGGCUCAUAAAUGGAUGGCAGGCUGGGUUACUCAGCUUCUUUCAGAAGGGAUGGUGGCCACAUGACACGUGCUCUUAGAAUCCUUGCAAAAACUCCUGCAGCUGGGUGACAAUCUCUGUGUCCACCGUUUCCAUGAGGGACUGGAAGCCUUGCUCCCCCAGGAUCUCCUGCUGCGCCUUGAGCUUCUCAUAGAUGAACUGCUGCAGAGACACUGUGUGCACCGGGUCCUUCAGGGCCAGCUGCAGGACAGAGGACAGACAGGGUCAGAGAGACAGACAAUCCUCCUGCACGUGCCUCACUGGGCUCUGUAAUCUCUCCACAGCAACACUUCUAAGAGCCUCCUGCAGACAGUGUUUUGGGGCCCUGAGUGUGUUGCUCUGAUGUGCCCAGUUUCUCAAGGGAACACAUCCUUUCAAAAUUGUAGAAUCUAGUAGAAAGCACCCUAAGAGGGGAAAAACGAGGGUACCCGUGCAACGACUGCUCUCUAGACAGUCAGAUUCCACAGCAGCAGCAGCACCUCCUCCCCCCCACCCCACCCCCAGGCAAGCGCACACUAUUUGCUCUAGCUUACACUGCAACACCAUUUAGUCCGUGCCUAUGUUUUUAGGUUGGGGGGAGUGUCAAAUUCUUUACUUUCAUAAUAUCACAAAAUUAUUUUUAAAUAUGUGUUGAGUGUUCUAACUUAUGCUAUAUUUUUUAACCUGUUAAACAUAAGUAAAAGAGACCACAGUUUAAACAAUUUUAUCUUUAACUUUGCUGGGUAUGGCACAGUUUUGGGCUACUAUGUAAGCAGCCUUUCUUUAUACUUUGGCUUCUUUUCUUUGGUUUGGAACAGGUCUCCGGCAGUCAAGGCUAGCCCCAUACUAGAAACUGUAGCUCCUGUGCCUUGGGCUGCUGCUUUCACCUCCAAGCCCUGGGUUUCGGGAAUGUGCCACUAUAGGCGAGUGCCACUAUGCUCAGAACGCCAUCUUGGUUUCCUAGGAUAUGGAAAGAACCACUAGGCAUAGAACAUUUGUGACUCCUGAUACAUCAGCUUCUUUUCCCUAUGGUUUGUACCAAUAUAUGAGAUAACAGUAUUUCGUUGCUAACACUGUGUUGCCACUGUUAUUAUCUAAAGGACUAAUAAUUAUAACAACAAACAAUACAGAAUAAGUAUAAGCUGAGCAUUUAUUUUUACCAUCAGUGACCUUGAAUAUCUGCAUAACUUUCAAUAAAGUAUAUGAAUGUCUUUGCCCAAUGU